UNGGCNAGAGACCGAUAUCAAACAAGUAUCAUGAGGGAAAGAUGAAAAGGACUUUGAAAAGAGAGUSAAAGAGUGCUUGAAAUUGUYGGGAUGGAAGCRAAUGGGGGCNGGCRAUGCACCUCGGUCGGAUGUGGAAUGGUUAAAGCUGGUYCGCCAAUCGACUCGGGGUGUGGAUCGGAGAGGAUUGGGAUGGAGGCUAAAGCCCAAGAAGUUGUUAAGCCUGUGGAGAUGCCUUCACCUCGAUUGUGGYUAGCAMCGUGUGCCUUUUUGGCGUGCUUCGGCAUCUGCGCACUCUCAG
rnacentral:rRNA from 1 species